GGCAUCCUCUCAAGAUUGUGUUAAACUAGUUAAAAACUCCACUGCCAUGUCUCCUAAAGAUAUCCAUGCCUCCACAGAACAUCACUCCCAUGUUCCCGCCUUCAGCCAGACGAGGAGCCAGUGUUUCACCAUAACGGGAUGAUGAAGUGGAUUCCUAACCAAACUGUGCUUACUUUAUGGUGUUAGGCAUAGCAGAAGAGCCUUGGAUGAGGUCCUUUACUUCCUG